rnacentral:rRNA from 1 species
CCCUUAGAUGUUCUGGGCCGCACGCGCGCUACACUGAUGCAUUCAACGAGUUUCUUCCUGGUCCGAGAGGAAUGGGUAACCUUUUGAAAGUGCAUCGUGAUAGGGAUAGACUAUUGCAAUUAUUGGUCUUCAACGAGGAAUUCCUAGUAGACGUAGUUCAUCAGACUGCAUCGAUUACGUCCCUGCCCUUCGUACACACCGCCCGUCGCUCCUACCGAUUGAAUGCUCAGGUGAGCCAUUCGGACUUUCAUCAUGCUGGUUUCCAGUUUUGAUGAAGGAAAGUCUUGCGAACCUUAUCAUUUAGAGGAAGGAGAAGUCGUAACA